CCGAGUUUACAACUCCCAAACCCAAUGUGAACGUUACCAAACUGUUGCCUCGGCGGGGUCACGCCCCGGGUGCGUAAAGGCCCCGGAACCAGGCGCCCGCCGGAGGAACCAACCAAACUCUUUCUGUAGUCCCCUCGCGGACGUACUUCUUACAGCUCUGAGCAAAAAUUCAAAAUGAAUCA
rnacentral:misc_RNA from 1 species